rnacentral:rRNA from 1 species
CAAAGGUCAAGAUAACAAGGGUCCACGGUGGAUGCCCUGGCACCAGAGCCGAAGAAGGACGCGGCGACCGGCGAAACGAGACGGGGAGUUGGAAGCAAGCAUUGAUCCGUCUGUAUCCGAAUGGGGAAACCCACCCGAAGUGAACUUCGGGUACCCACGCAAGUGGGAGGGAACGCAGGGAACUGAAACAUCUCAGUACCUGCAGGAGAAGAAAGAGUGAUCGAUUCCCUUAGUAGCGGCGAGCGAAGCGGGAAGAGCCCAAACCAUCAGGUUUCCUGGUGGGGUUGUAGGGCAGAGAACAAGCAACCACGACGCUACCGAAAGCACUUGGGAAAGUGCACCGAAGAGGGUGAGAGUCCCGUACGGGAAAGCAAGUUGGUUGUGUCUCUGUACCUGAGUAGGUCGUUACACGUGAAGUGAUGACUGAAUCCACGCAGACCACUGCGUAAGGCUAAAUACUCCUGGUGACCGAUAGCGGACAGUACCGUGAGGGAACGGUGAAAAGAACCCCGGGAGGGGAGUGAAAUAGAACCUGAAACCGUGGACUUACAAGCAGUCACAGCACCACACGCGUGUUGUGGCGUGCCUAUUGAA